rnacentral:lncRNA from 1 species
AUAAUUUUUAAUUAAACUCUAGUUUAUUAUCUGAAAGUCUGCUUCAAUUUUAACUUUACCUUCAAAUAAUGAAACAAAGGUGUAGAGCUACUAUGCUAUCGGAAGUAUAGAGAAAUUAAUGCUUGCGAUUUUUUGACCCUUAGAUCAAGAAUUGUACGGUUGGAAUGAUUGCGGUCCCUACUAGGGUUGAGAAGUACCUCUAGGGUUGAGUGGUCUCUACAGAGUAAUAGUAUUAAUUAAAAAAAUUAUAAAUAAUUAAAGGGACUGAUCUAAAAUGCAAAAAGUCGAAAGCACCGGAUCCUUUAUACUUCCGAUAACAUAGUAGCUCUACUCGAAACAAAGAGACCCAAAAGA